CUUGUUCAUUCGUUUUCAUUCGCUUGGGUUUUCAUUCGUUUUCAUUCACGUCGUUUUCGUGGGUCUGUGAUGUUCAUUUCUGUGUGGGUCUGUGUUUUUUUGUGUGGGUUUUCAUUCUUCUUCUGCUUGAUGGCUUGAUGAUGAGAAUGUCAAUAUAAAAAUACAAAUUUGCAUGAGAUUUGGAAGUCUGUGUAGGUCUGUGUAGGUCACUUUAGCAUGAGAUUUAAUGAAAAGUAAAAAGAUAUAUGGUCAUUUCUGUUUAUGAUAUUUAUUUUGCUGCUAUUUUGAUUAUUUUUUACUUCAUAGAUGAUAUGUAAUGUUUUAAACCAAGCCAUGUUUUGCUGCUAUUUUGCUGCUAUUAUAUCAGAUUUUAUUGUUGAAGCUAAACUCCAAAUAGGCAAGAAAAUUCAAAUAACCAAGCCAUGUUUUAAUGUCAAAGUGUGAUUCAAAAUUCGUUAUGUUGCUGCACAUGAGGGUGUUAGGUAUAAGCAAGUAUAUAGAAGUCACUCAUGUUAACCUUGUGCUUAAUAUAUUCAAGGUAUAUAGAAGUCACUCAAGUUAUAGUGCUUAAUAUAUUCAAGGUUGGCUAAGGAGUGAAAAUAUGGAGUUAGAAUAGUGCUUAAUAUCUCUGCCAUAUAAUAUACUUACUCAAGGUGACCAAGUUUGAUGUAGUUAGAAUAGUAAGGGAAAAUAUGGAGAUGGUCAAGAGGGUUUUGGUAUGAGCCUAAGAUAGCUGAGUAGUGUCUCUCCAAAUACCCUUCAGCUUCACCACAUAGCCUUAUAAGAUGGGAUCUUUUUUCUUGCAAAUACCCUUCAGCUUCGGCUUCAAGAAAACAUACAACUUGGCCAUGGGCAGGGGUCAAUAUUUAUGGCCAAUUGUAUAAACAUACAACUUGUUUUGAUAUUAACUAAGUUGUAUAAACAUAUUUAUAAAAUUAUCAAUGCUUGUGCUGUGCAGGGGUUGCUGUGUUAGGCGGUGAUUGCUGCUCCUGCGUUAGGCGGUGAUUGCUGCUCCUGCGUGUUGCUUGUGCUGUGCAGGGGCUGGUGUUGCUCUUUUUUGGUGUUGUCAUCUUUGUUUGAAGUUAGAAGGUUCAAUCACGGUCUCAUCUACAGGCGAGGAAACAAUAUAAUUCAAAUGACUGUGGAUACUAUGUAAUGAAAAAUAUGUUGGACAUUGUCACUGCUAAGAUAACUGAUUCUUGGAUGGAGGUAUUUAAUGACCCAAAAGAGUUAACAGCUGAGGAGAUGUAUGAAUUGCGAUUACGUUGGUCAACAUAUUUUUUGGAGUUAUUGGAGGGUUAAGAUUUAUCUGGGUGAUGAAUUGGUUAUUAGCUUUAGUUUGAGUCUUGGAAGCAGAUCAGGUGAUGGAAUUGGUAUUUUGGCUCGGAUGUGCAUCUCACUGUUUUGGACUGUUUAUUUUGGACUAUUUUAGGAUGGUUUUAUGAAGGAAUUGGUAUUAGAAUUGGUAUUUUUGUGAUGGAAUUGGUAUUUUAUGAAGGAUUGGUAUUUUAGAAUUGGUAUUUUAUGAAGGAUUGGUAUUUUAGAAUUGGUAUUUUAGGAAUUGGUAUUUUAGGACUGUUUAUCAGGUGAUGGAAUUGGUAUUUUAGGAUGUGCAUACUGUUCUAGAGUUUUGAUUUUU